ensembl:miRNA
CCCUCACUGAUGAGUAGCUUCUGACUUUCGUUCUUCUGAGUUUGCUGAAGCCAGAUGCCAUUCCUGAGAAGGGAA